UACGUAGGGUUCGAGCGUUGUCCGGAAUUACUGGGCGUAAAGAGCUCGUAGGUGGUGUGGCGCGUUGUUCGUGAAAACUCACAGCUUAACUGUGGGCGUGCGGGCGAUACGGGCAGACUGGAGUACUGCAGGGGAGACUGGAAUUCCUGGUGUAGCGGUGGAAUGCGCAGAUAUCAGGAGGAACACCGGUGGCGAAGGCGGGUCUCUGGGCAGUAACUGACGCUGAGGAGCGAAAGCGUGGGGAGCGAACAGG
rnacentral:rRNA from 1 species